AUUGAACGCUGGCGGCAUGCUUUACACAUGCAAGUCGAACGGCAGCGCGGGCUUCGGCCUGGCGGAGAGUGGCGAACGGGCGAGUAAUGCAUCGGAACGUGCCCAGUUGUGGGGGAUAGCGCGGCGAAAGCGGGAAAAAUACCGCUUACGACCUGAGGGUGUAAGCGGGGGACCGAAAGGCCUUCCGACAUUGGGGGGGCCGAUGUCGGAUUAGCUAGUUGGUGGGGUAAAGGCUUACCAAGGCGACGAUCCGUAGCUGGUCUGAGAGGAUGACCAGCCACACUGGAACUGAGACACGGCCCAGACUCCUACGGGAGGCAGCAGUGGGGAAUUUUGGACAAUGGGGGCAAGCCUGAUCCAGCCAUGCCGCGUGCGUGAAGAAGGCCUUCGGGUUGUAAACCGCUUUUGUUCGGGAAGAAAUCCUCUAGGCUAAUACCCCGGGGUGAUGACGGUACCGGAAGAAUAAGCACCGGCUAACUACGUG
rnacentral:rRNA from 1 species